UGAAACACAAUUAAAAAUGCUAAUCACAAUAAAAACGCUGUCAAAAACGUCACUGUUGACAAAUAAAAACCGCAUAAAUCGUAGUGGAAAUGGGUUUUGGAGAUUAUCUCAAAUUAAGUGGAUUUGGGCUCUAGUGGAAACAUGGUUUAAGCAAGCAACAUCCGAAUAUUUUGAGGAUUACAUGUCCGUGCAGCCUACAAAUUUUUUAACAUACCAUGUAUUAUCCCAGAAGCUCGAUUGAUGUGGUUUGUCCAGAUGGUUCCAAACCAAACGACCAGGUGGGCUUUGGGGUGUACUCUGAAGAACUAGGACUGAUCAUAUCGAGAAAGAGAUUCUUGCAAUUAAAGAAGUGGUGGAAUGGCUAAGAUAUAAUGUCAAAACGACAAUUGGUAUAAAUAUCUUCUCAGACAGCCACUAAGCCCCUGAAAAAUAUAUUUCUGAAUUCCAAAGCCGCCCUCGACUGUUGCAAAUCUCUCAAUGAGAAGGUCGAAAACCUUCUUUUUAGAUGAAAACUAAAAAGAGUUUCUUAAGUUGCGAAAGCAAUAGAUCGCCAUUAACCACGUCAAAAGCCUGGCUGUGAUCUAAAAGAAAGGAUGUCACAUUAUUAUCCUGGUGUUGGCGAAAAUCGUCAGCGACAUCGUUAGGAGUGGUGGUGAAUCUACUUCAGGACUAUAUUUUUAACUACAUUUCUAAAAAAAAAUUUUAUUAUUUUUCAUAAAAUGUUGUACGAAAUAUUUGCACCCUCUGUUCACCCCAACCUAAUACAAUUUUAUAUGUAUGUAA